GGGCCAUUAGCUCACGCGUGGUUAGAGCAAACGACUCAUAAUCGUUCGGUACGGUGUUCGACUCACCGAUGGCCCA
rnacentral:tRNA from 1 species